UACGUAGGGCGCAAGCGUUGUCCGGAAUUACUGGGCGUAAAGGGUUCGUAGGUGGCCAACUAAGUCAGACGUGAAAUCCCUCAGCUUAACUGGGGAACUGCGUCUGAGACUGGAUGGCUUGAGUGCAGGAGAGGAACGCGGAAUUCCAGGUGUAGCGGUGAAAUGCGUAGAUAUCUGGAGGAACACCGGUGGCGAAGGCGGCGUUCUGGACUGCUACUGACACUGAGGAACGAAAGCCAGGGGAGCAAACGGG
rnacentral:rRNA from 1 species